UACGUAGGGGGCAAGCGUUGUCCGGAUUUAUUGGGCGUAAAGAGCGUGUAGGCGGCCAUUCAGGUCAGCUGUGAAAACUCGAGGCUCAACCUCGAGACGUCGGUUGAAACCGUUUGGCUAGAGUCCGGAAGAGGAGAGUGGAAUUCCUGGUGUAGCGGUGGAAUGCGCAGAUAUCAGGAGGAACACCGAUAGCGAAGGCAGCUCGCUGGGACGGUACUGACGCUGAGGUGCGAAAGCGUGGGGAGCGAACAGG
rnacentral:rRNA from 1 species